ACGCGGCGGCAUGCUUACACAUGCAAGUCGAACGGUAACAGGGUGCUGCACCGCUGACGAGUGGCGAACGGGUGAGUAUGCGUCGGAAUGUACCGUGUAAUGGGGGAUAGCUCGGCGAAAGCCGGAUUAAUACCGCAUACGCCCUGAGGGGGAAAGCGGGGGAUCGAAAGACCUCGCGUUAUACGAGCAGCCGACGUCUGAUAGCUAGUUGGUGAGGUAAGAGCUCACCAAGGCGACGAUCAGUAGCGGGUCUGAGAGGAUGAUCCGCCACACUGGGACUGAGACACGGCCCAGACUCCUACGGGAGGCAGCAGUGGGGAAUUUUGGACAAUGGGGGCAACCCUGAUCCAGCCAUGCCGCGUGUCUGAAGAAGGCCUUCGGGUUGUAAAGGACUUUUGUCAGGGAGGAAAUCCCGCUGGUUAAUACCCGGCGGGGAUGACAGUACCUGAAGAAUAAGCACCGGCUAACUACGUGCCAGCAGCCGCGGUAAUACGUAGGGUGCGAGCGUUAAUCGGAAUUACUGGGCGUAAAGCGUGCGCAGGCGGUUGUGCAAGUCUGAUGUGAAAGCCCCGGGCUUAACCUGGGAACGGCAUUGGAGACUGCACAGCUAGAGUGCGUCAGAGGGGGGUAGAAUUCCACGUGUAGCAGUGAAAUGCGUAGAGAUGUGGAGGAAUACCGAUGGCGAAGGCAGCCCCCUGGGAUGACACUGACGCUCAUGCACGAAAGCGUGGGGAGCAAACAGGAUUAGAUACCCUGGUAGUCCACGCCCUAAACGAUGUCAACUAGCUGUUGGGGGUUUGAAUCCUUGGUAGCGUAGCUAACGCGUGAAGUUGACCGCCUGGGGAGUACGGCCGCAAGGUUAAAACUCAAAGGAAUUGACGGGGACCCGCACAAGCGGUGGAUGAUGUGGAUUAAUUCGAUGCAACGCGAAAAACCUUACCUGCUCUUGACAUGUACGGAACUUGCCAGAGAUGGCUUGGUGCCCGAAAGGGAGCCGUAA
rnacentral:rRNA from 1 species